UACGAAGGGUGCAAGCGUUACUCGGAAUUACUGGGCGUAAAGCGUGCGUAGGUGGUUUGUUAAGUCUGUUGUGAAAGCCCCGGGCUCAACCUGGGAAUGGCAAUGGAUACUGGCAAGCUAGAGUGCGGUAGAGGGUAGUGGAAUUCCCGGUGUAGCGGUGAAAUGCGUAGAGAUCCGGAAGAACACCGGUGGCGAAGGCGGCCUGCUGGGCUAUGGCUGACACUGAGGCGCGACAGCGUGGGGAGCAAACAGG
rnacentral:rRNA from 1 species